rnacentral:rRNA from 1 species
UACGAAGGGGGCUAGCGUUGUUCGGAAUUACUGGGCGUAAAGGGCGCGUAGGCGGCAUGACAAGUCACUUGUGAAAUCUCUGGGCUUAACCCAGAACGGCCAAGUGAUACUGUCGCGCUAGAGUGCAGAAAGGGCAAUCGGAAUUCUUGGUGUAGCGGUGAAAUGCGUAGAUAUCAAGAGGAACACCUGAGGCGAAGGCGGGUUGCUAGGCUGACACUGACGCUGAGGCGCGAAAGCCAGGGGAGCAAACGGG